GGGAAGUCGGCCAGGCCUGCGCGGCUUCCCAGGCUGUCCCGGCGCAGAGGCGGCCCCGGGCCUCCUUGGAAAGGAACUGUCCCCGUGUAUCCCGGCGAGGUUCGCUGCAGAGACACAACUGUCCAACCAUUUAUCACUCAGAAACGUUUUACUGAUCUUCUGGAAAUAUGUCAUCGUUUAGGAGUAUUAUAUAUCUUUCUAAAAUCACUCAAGAUUUAUGGUGGCGACUUGAAUUCCUUUAGAGCUAUCUGCUUCACACUUUUGAACACCAAAGGAAGAGAAAAGAUUGUAUUUUAAGGAAUUUAGACCAAUGGUUAUGAAGAAGCCAGAGACCAGAACAUAUCCUGAGAUUAGACACAAACAAAUGAGAAAAGAUGAUUGCUAAAAGCGAUAGGAGCCUUCUAGGAUUCAGCAGGACCCCACCCUGCCAGCCUCCCACCCUAUAUCGAAUCAUUUCCUUGCGUGUAAUGAGCCGUGGAAGUCCAGUUUUUACCUAAUCAGUUCUAUCACUCAUUGGCUUAUCCUACCUUGAGAUCCCCUAAAGGUUCUGGGGAAUGGUGAUUUCAAACUAAAUCGCUUACCAAGGCUGAUAUUUGAAUCACUAAAAAGGCACAGAAUUGUGGAGGGGCGUGCCUCUUGGAUGGACAAAUCUUCAGGAUAAAUAGAAGGAAUAUGUAGAAAGGUUUCACAACAGACAAAUCUGCAAUAACCUAUCUGAAAGAGUGAGUAAGCUCCUUAAAAACCACCCUGGCGUGAGACCUGUGUCAAUGUUCGCAGUGCCACCAUUCCCAUUACUCCUCCAGCAGAACACUUUCCUGGAAGUCCUGAGGAGCAUUCAUCAAAACAAAUGGGCUGCUUUCUUUGGGUGGGGGGGGGAUGCUGCCGCCCUUGGAGUCCAAGACACACACAUUUUCCCCUGCGACAUGAAGCGGUAUAAAGAAUGGUUGUCACCAUUCGUGACCAACAACCCACAAGGUUCAAAGUGUUCGCACAGGAUAAGAAUGUUGACAGCAUCCUUAGAAUAGACCCAAGCUAACUGGCCUUGGAAUUGAAUGCAGUUAGCCUCAUCAGCAAGAACCAAGGAAAUUCACCAGCCUCUGAAUUGAUCAAGGUCUUUGCUCAAGGAGAGAUUCCUAAAAUGCAAAGCAAAAAAAAACACUGAUUUUUUUUUUUCCAGGAUGGGUAGCUGGGUUCUCAUUUGAGCCCAGGUUUAUGAUGGAAGAACAUGAAUAAAGUUCCAACCCUCUUGAGAGCAGUUGAUGCCCAUAUAAGGGCAGUUUUCUUCUGGAGAAAGUCCCAG
rnacentral:lncRNA from 1 species